UGCAAACCUCUGGGCCACAACUUCAACAUUUAUGGUGCUCUUCCUGCUGAGCCUCUUCUACAGUGCAACUGUUACUUUGUUCAAGGUCAAAUAGUAUGAACACAACAUGGAGUACUGAACAUCAAAAUAUCCUGUAAAUAAAUUUCAAACUCUUAUUCUGAAGUUUAAAAGACUGAGCUGUUUUGCAGAAUUUUAUUGUAAAUUUGUAUGAUGUAAAAAUAAAGAUAUCUUAUAUUAGCG